UUGACUUGCAAGUACUGUUUAUGAAGUCUGAUGCUGAUGAACAUAAAAAAAAGUCAGGACAGCACAGCAUUUGUGUUUAUGUUUGUGUUACAAAGCCAUUAGGAAGAAUGCAGACAGCACAGUUCUGACACUGGUCAUUUCCUGUUAGGCAUAUUGCUUACAUCACUGGAGUAGUGACGGCCUGUGGAUCUCAGCAGUAUGCUUGAGGGAAAAAAUAUUUAGUGAUAUUUGACAACUCAAAUGGGGAUAUACCAUAUUUACUCGAAUAUAAGAUGGCCCUGAUUAUAAGAUGACUCCCCCAAUAAUUAAAUUCUAUAUAUGGAAAAUGUAUAAGUUCUAUAUAAUUUUCCAGGUAUAGAAUCUAAUUGGAAGUUAGUCUUGAAUUUGUCAACCUCACACUGCUACAGCAGGGAAAAUAUUGGCUGGGGAGUCGGUAACCCCCUUGCCCUGUCCCUCCAUCUUCUUUUCCCUGCAACUCCUUCCCCCUCUCCUUCUUGUCAGACCCUACUCUCCACAUGGAAGAAAGGAACAAAUUUGAAAUAACUGACCUUGAAAUCACCAUAGCUGUAAUAAUUUGCAUAUAUUACCCAUACACUUAUUUAAUCCAGAAUUGAUACACCUUACCUUUUUUUUAAACUGCUGCUAGUUUUAGCACAGGUACUCCAUAAAACACACUUAAGUAGCAUUUGGCACCUGCUUAUAUGGAGAACAAGCAAUGCAUGAUACUAUCCCAAAGCCAAAAGCUCAUGAUUCACCAUAUAGUCCAUUGUGCUGGGCCUCAUUAAAGUCUAAAACAUGAACCAAGUGUUCUUGUCACAAGUCCUGGGAUCCUCCAAAAAUACAUUUGCAGAUAAGGCAUAUGGCAACCUGGUCCACCUUCACCUUGUGGAGAGUGGGGGCUACACUAAUCAUAUAGGACAGGCUGAGAGAGGGACUAACAGAGGGAUUCUGGCCGAACUGUUUGGGGCCCUGUUUGGUGACGUUUAAGGCCGGUGAAGAAACAAGAAUCAAUGGAAAUGGAAAAGCCACAGCUCAGCUGUGGUGGGAGUGAAGGCAAAGUCAGAAUGCAUUCAAUAAGGGCUCACCAUGACUUGAAAAAGAGUUGGUGCUGAAGGGGACUGCACUCAAUGGACACUACCAUUUAUCUUAUUCAGAUGGGUUGCACUAACCUUCUUCUGGUAGGUUCCCAUCAGCAUGUUUGCCCAAUAUGGGUCAUGUACUUUAUAAUCAUUUUUGGUGGUAGCUGUAUUUAAAUCAACAACUGCCUGGCUGGUUUCCAUUACUGAGCACAUACUGUGUUUAACAGCAGUUCAGAGAUGGACAAUGUAUUUAAUUAAGUUUUCUUGCAUGCAUAUGUAAGACUAGGGGCUUUUUUUGUUGCAAAUGCUGAUGGGGUCAACAGACAUUUACACAGCCUGGGACAGUGAACAAUACUUUAACUGAAAUUCUCAUUUCCAGAAAUGCUAUCUCCCCCCCUUAAUGCAUCAUAGAGAGAAUGCAAACAAGUAAAAGCAACUUAGAAUGUAUAUACCCCCUUGCAGAAAUGGCUAAGAAAUCCUCACCAAGCUUCUAAGAUGAAUAUACCUCUCCAAUUUCCAUCUACAGAAAGCUGAUGCACAGAGGGGCAAGUAACUUGUUUAAGGCCACUCGGUAAGUCAGCAGAGACAGGAGUUUGCAUACUCAGGUCCCUAGCUGUCGCUGUGUAAAGUUCAUCAGAUAAAUUACUCCAUCUGACUAAACCAGUAAACAAUAAAGCCCAACAUAAAACAUUAAUUUCCUGAAACAAUACAAGACACUUAAGCCUUGACACAAAAAAACAAAAACACACUAAACUAAAUUGUUGAGCCACACAUACAGUCAGACACAUUGCUAAUCUUAUCCAGGACAAACUGUACAUACUUCCAAGGAUGGGUGGGGCUGAUUAAAAUCUUUAUACAGAACUAACUACUUACUUCCUUUAGUACAAAAAAAAAUUCUAAAAAUAUAUGAAUCAGAGGCAAGCCUGAACCAGGUCGUCUUCCCUUUUUACAAAGUGCUGAAAUAUUAGGGGUGCUGACAGAUGUAAACCAAGCCCCACCCCUCAAAAGCCCAGCACUUUACUGGAAGAGGAAGUGCUUCAGUUUGACCCAGCUCUCCAGAGUUUGUCUAGAACAGGCACUAACACAAGUCUUUUUGGCGCUUUUAUCUAAAGCUGAUUCAAAUCAGUUCUUAGAUAAAAAUGCCAAAAACCCUCCUGAAAUGCCUGAUCUAUACAGAUGUUGGGUGAGCCGAGUCAAACUAACACGGUGCCUCUUCUGGGCAUGCACUGCACUCAGUCCAGGGGCACACUAAGCUGAAUGCAAAGCACCAUUUUUUUCUCCCUCAGUGGUCACAAAGCUAAGCUGUUGGCCAGGCUCCCCGCUUCAUCAGAACUACCACCUAAUUGGUAAAAAGGCAAAAGGCCACUGUGGGAAGCAGCAGCAUACCAAGACGUAGUAGCUAACGGUCAGACAUUUUUAGAAACUAGCAAAUUUGCUCCCAAGUGCCAGGAAAACUAUUCACAUUGGAAAAGUGUUUUAGCAUUGUGAACCUUGAUACACAAAAUUACUGGAAGGGAAAAUGGUGAGAAUGGUGACCUCUUUUUCAGUUCAGUGUUUCAAGUACUCAUCUUGAAUGUUAGAAAUUCAGAUGCCCUCUUCUGCCCAAGGACACUUGAACCCACAUGCUAGGGAAGUGCCCUACUCAGUAGGUUAAAGGGCAUUCUGGGAGAAGGGUUUGCAGCCUCUCUUGCUGACACUGUUCAUCCCUGUAUAAACAAACAGUAAUUGGAAGAGGGACAAAGACCCUCCCAGCUCUCAAGGAAAUAAGCCAAAAACUGUCUAGGGUCUUAUUCUCUUUUGUGUGAUUUUUUUUCAUUAUUUAUAGAAAAAGAAACAGUUUAAAAGGUGGGACUGAGGGAGUCCCAUCCCAUUGUACCUAUAACCCAGUGAUUAAGACACUGCCCUGAGUCAAUCCUUCCUUCUCAGUCCUUCCUGCUAGACCUGUUCUACUUUGAAACAGAAACAGGAGAGAGACAAACUCUUCAGCUUGGUGAUUAAGACAUUGGACUGGCAAGUAGAACACUUAUUGGGUUCCAGUUUUUUCUCCAUGUAUUUGUACAAAGUGCAACAGUGUCAACAGCAGAUAUUGAGAAGCCCUGCCUUAUUACACAGUAUCCUAUAGCCUUGCUGUUAUGCUACUCCUUUAGGAGGUGGGUUCAAAUCCCCUGUAAGUAGGAGGUGGGAAUUUAACCCAGGUCUCCCCUAUCCUAUGUGAGUGCUAACUGCCAAGCUAUUGGAAAGAAGAAAACUACCGCUAUGAACACCAGCCUUUUAUUUCCUUUGCUCUUAUUACAAGAGUCAGGAACAAGAAUUAUUCUGUAUUAAACAAAAACUUUUAUUUUUGUUGUUUCCUUCACCCCUACUUUUGGCUACUGAACUGGAAAAAAUGUUUGUAAGACCAGUAGCAACACCAAUUACAAUCACACUAAAGAUGCAAGGAGCUUACGUGGGACAAGAGAAGGAAAGCCCUAAACAGCCUGCGUGAGGAAGCCAAGAAGUACUCACAGCCUACUAGCAAUAAAGAAAGACUUUUUCUCAUGGUUAAAGUGAUUGUCAUCUGCAUGUUAACCUGGAGUGCAGAGUGUAAACCUUUGCAAGCAACAACACACCUAUUCCUACUUGGAUGUUUUAUAUGGGGAAUAGUUAUAUAAAGAAGUACAGGAAAUUAAAAUUUCCCCGGAAAGACCUUGCCCUGUACAACAGCAACAAUGAAUUUUGCAAGACUGUGUGCCACCGUAGGAUAUUUAGAGUUUAAGCGUAAGCUUUAAUUCUGCAUAGCACAAAGUCCAGAGUCCACAUCUGUGCAAUCCAUGCAUGUCCUAUUUGAGUGGGUUCCUGAUUUGCCAGCUCAUAAA